rnacentral:rRNA from 1 species
GAAGAAGGCCUUAUGGUUGUAAAGCACUUUAAGCGAGGAGGAGGCUACUUUAGUUAAUACCUAGAGAUAGUGGACGUUACUCGCAGAAUAAGCACCGGCUAACUCUGUGCCAGCAGCCGCGGUAAUACAGAGGGUGCAAGCGUUAAUCGGAUUUACUGGGCGUAAAGCGCGCGUAGGCGGCUAAUUAAGUCAAAUGUGAAAUCCCCGAGCUUAACUUGGGAAUUGCAUUCGAUACUGGUUAGCUAGAGUGUGGGAGAGGAUGGUAGAAUUCCAGGUGUAGCGGUGAAAUGCGUAGAGAUCUGGAGGAAUACCGAUGGCGAAGGCAGCCAUCUGGCCUAACACUGACGCUGAGGUGCGAAAGCAUGGGGAGCAAACAGGAUUAGAUACCCUGGUAGUCCAUGCCGUAAACGAUGUCUACUAGCCGUUGGGGCCUUUGAGGCUUUAGUGGCGCAGCUAACGCGAUAAGUAGACCGCCUGGGGAGUACGGUCGCAAGACUAAAACUCAAAUGAAUUGACGGGGGCCCGCACAAGCGGUGGAGCAUGUGGUUUAAUUCGAUGCAACGCGAAGAACCUUACCUGGCCUUGACAUAGUAAGAACUUUCCAGAGAUGGAUUGGUGCCUUCGGGAACUUACAUACAGGUGCUGCAUGGCUGUCGUCAGCUCGUGUCGUGAGAUGUUGGGUUAAGUCCCGCAACGAGCGCAACCCUUUUCCUUAUUUGCCAGCGAGUAAUGUCGGGAACUUUAAGGAUACUGCCAGUGACAAACUGGAGGAAGGCGGGGACGACGUCAAGUCAUCAUGGCCCUUACGGCCAGGGCUACACACGUGCUACAAUGGUCGGUACAAAGGGUUGCUACCUAGCGAUAGGAUGCUAAUCUCAAAAAGCCGAUCGUAGUCCGGAUUGGAGUCUGCAACUCGACUCCAUGAAGUCGGAAUCGCUAGUAAUCGCGGAUCAGAAUGCCGCGGUGAAUACGUUCCCGGGCCUUGUACACACCGCCCGUCACACCAUGGGAGUUUGUUGCACCAGAAGUAGC